GUUGACCUCGGAUCAGGUAGGGAUACCCGCUGAACUUAAGCAUAUCAAUAAGCGGAGGAAAAGAAACCAACAGGGAUUGCUCUAGUAACGGCGAGUGAAGCAGCAAUAGCUCAAAUUUGAAAUCUGGCGUCUUCGACGUCC
rnacentral:rRNA from 1 species